GGAAGGUGCAAGCGUUAAUCGGAAUUACUGGGCAUAAAGCGCGCGUAGGCGGUUAGAUAAGUCGGGUGUGAAAGCCCCGGGCUCAACCUGGGAACUGCAUUCGAUACUGUUUGACUAGAGUGUAAUAGAGGGAGGCGGAAUUCCGCAUGUAGCGGUGAAAUGCGUAGAGAUGCGGAGGAACACCAAUGGCGAAGGCAGCCUCCUGGAUUAACACUGACGCUGAGGUGCGAAAGCGUGGGGGGGAGCAAACAGGAUUAGAUACCCUGGUAGUCCACGCUGUAAACGAUGUCAACUAGCCGUUGGGAGCAAUUUGGCUCUUGGUGGCGCAGCUAACGCGAUAAGUUGACCGCCUGGGGAGUACGGUCGCAAGAUUA
rnacentral:rRNA from 1 species